rnacentral:piRNA from 1 species
UCUACAAUAGGAAAUCCGGCA